rnacentral:rRNA from 1 species
GAUGAACGCUGGCGGCGUGCCUAAUACAUGCAAGUCGAGCGAACAGACGAGGAGCUUGCUCCUCUGACGUUAGCGGCGGACGGGUGAGUAACACGUGGAUAACCUACCUAUAAGACUGGGAUAACUUCGGGAAACCGGAGCUAAUACCGGAUAAUAUAUUAAACCGCAUGGUUCAAUAGUGAAAGACGGUUUUGCUGUCACUUAUAGAUGGAUCCGCGCCGCAUUAGCUAGUUGGUAAGGUAACGGCUUACCAAAGCAACGAUGCGUAGCCGACCUGAGAGGGUGAUCGGCCACACUGGAACUGAGACACGGUCCAGACUCCUACGGGAGGCAGCAGUAGGGAAUCUUCCGCAAUGGGCGAAAGCCUGACGGAGCAACGCCGCGUGAGUGAUGAAGGUCUUCGGAUCGUAAAACUCUGUUAUUAGGGAAGAACAAAUGUGUAAGUAACUAUGCACGUCUUGACGGUACCUAAUCAGAAAGCCACGGCUAACUACGUG